CAGUAGCCGCGGUAAUACCGAGGGUGCGAGCGUUAAUCGGAUUUACUGGGCGUAAAGCGUGCGUAGGCGGCUUCUUAAGUCGGAUGUGAAAUCCCUGAGCUUAACUUAGGAAUUGCAUUCGAUACUGGGAAGCUAGAGUAUGGGAGAGGAUGGUAGAAUUCCAGGUGUAGCGGUGAAAUGCGUAGAGAUCUGGAGGAAUACCGAUGGCGAAGGCAGCCAUCUGGCCUAAUACUGACGCUGAGGUACGAAAGCAUGGGGAGCAAACAGGAUUAGAUACCCCCGUAGUCCCUGUCUCUUAUAC
rnacentral:rRNA from 1 species